rnacentral:rRNA from 1 species
AUUGAACGCUGGCGGCAGGCCUAACACAUGCAAGUCGAACGAGUGGCGGACGGGUGAGUCAUGUCUGGGACACUGCCUGAUGGAGGGGGAUAACUACUGGAAACGGUAGCUAAUACCGCAUACCAUCAGAUGUGCCCAGAUGGGAUUAGCUUGUUGGUGGGGGAACGGCUCACCAAGGCGACGAUCACUCGCUGGUCUGAGAGGAUGACCAGCCACCCUGGAGCUGAGACACGGGCCAGACUCCUACGUGAGGCAGUGGUGGGGAAUAUUGCACAAUGGGCGCAAGCCUGAUGCAGCCAUGCCGCGUGUAUGAAGAAGGCCUUCGGGUUGUAAAGUACUUUCAGCGGGGAGGCGUUACCCGCAGAAGAAGCACCGGCUAACUCCGUGCCAGCAGCCGCGGAAUUC